UUUAGAUUAGGGUUUGGUUAGGAUUUGAUUUAAGGUUUGGUUUAGGGUUUAGGAUUGGAUUAGGGUUUGGUUUAGGGUUUGAUUUAGGGUUUGGUUUAGGGUUUAGGGUUUGAAAUAGGGUUUAAUUUAAUAUUUUUUUAGGAUUUGACUUAGGGUUUAAGAUUUAAUUAGGUUUGGUCUAAAGUUGAGUAAAAUUCAAUAGGGUUUUAACUAGAAUUAAAUUAAGGUUGAAUUUACAUAUAUUUGAGUAAAAUUUGUGAUCAUUCUAAUAUUUCUUUAAGAAUUUUAUUGUUUGUUUGAAAUUUCUUUGAGUUUUUUUGCAUUGGAUUACGUUUGUUUACCAUUAUUAUAGUCUAAUUAGAGCAUUGUUAGUAUUCUAUUUAGGAUUUUGUUAUCUCAAUUUCUAUUCUUCCUUCUACAGCCAGGUGCCCAAAGCAUUCUCAAGCAAGACUUCACACAUUAUGACACCGUACUCUUCAUUUUAUGGUUGUAUCGCUUCUUUGGGCAAUGUUAAGCAG
rnacentral:lncRNA from 1 species